rnacentral:rRNA from 1 species
CCUACGGGGGGCAGCAGUGGGGGAUAUUGCACAAUGGGGGAAACCCUGAUGCAGCGACGCCGCGUGGGUGAAGAAGCGCCUCGGCGCGUAAAGCCCUGUCAGCAGGGAAGAAAAUGACGGUACCUGAAGAAGAAGCCCCGGCUAACUACGUGCCAGCAGCCGCGGUAAUACGUAGGGGGCAAGCGUUAUCCGGAUUUACUGGGGGUAAAGGGGGCGCAGACGGCGAUGCAAGCCAGGAGUGAAAGCCCGGGGCCCAACCCCGGGACUGCUCUUGGAACUGCGUGGCGAGAGUGCAGGAGGGGCAGGCAGAAUUCCUGGUGUAGCGGUGAAAUGCGUAGAGAUCAGGAGGAACACCGGUGGCGAAGGCGGCCUGCUGGACUGCAACUGACGUUGAGGCCCGAAAGCGUGGGGAGCAAACAGGAUUAGAUACCCGAGUAGUC